CGGAGUGGGCGGGACGGGUGAGUAAUGUCGGGGAAACCGCCCGAUGGAGGGGGAUAACUACUGGAAACGGUAGCUAAUACCGCAUAACGUCGCAAGACCAAAGAGGGGGACCUUCGGGCCUCUUGCCAUCGGAUGUGCCCAGAUGGGAUUAGCUAGUAGGUGGGGUAACGGCUCACCUAGGCGACGAUCCCUAGCUGGUCUGAGAGGAUGACCAGCCACACUGGAACUGAGACACGGUCCAG
rnacentral:rRNA from 1 species